GUUGUCACCUAUCAUUGCUAAUUCUCCAUGCAAUACCAAAAUAAUAUAUUGCCCGAUUGUAGUUGCAUUUCAGAUGCACAUUAUAUUUCCACACCAAUUACAUCUGUGAGGAAAUUAAAGAAAUUUUUAUUGAAAAGAAACUUUCAUAGAGGCAAUGAACAACUAGUGUCAACCAAUAGUUCCUGCUCAUUGGACCAUUACAAAUCCCUUCAAGUGGAUGCGCACCAUUUCAUUUCAGUCACAGAUAUCAAAAACAAUCCUCUUCAAACAGAUUCGGGAAUGGACAAAUCCAAGGUGUCUCAAACAUUUUUGUUCGAAAGAAAAAUAGAGACCAAGAUUUGAGAAUUUUUAACUAAUGUUGCUAAUUCUUCAUAGAAAAGAACAAAAAUACUACUUAGAACUUCAUAGUUCUCCCUAUUUCGCCUGAGGGUGUGAAGCUAUAAAGUCAACAGCAAGGUUGACGGAACUGAUCUUAUCUGCUUCGUUAUCUGGGAUCUCAAAGCCAAACUCUUCUUCAAGGGCCAUCACAACCUCCACGCUGUCCAAACUAUCUAACCCAAGAUCAUUUUGGAAAUGGGCAUUUGGUGUGACCUUGGAAGGAUCGACCUUCUGGAAGUUCUUGACGACACUGAUGACACGAUCCGUGACCUCGGAUUUGUCGAGGAAGGAGCCCCUCACCUCCUCAGAGAAACGGCGAAAUAUUGCAUUGAAUGAAAGGGCAGAGAGGCCGGUAUUGAGUCUAGGGUUUUGAGGUACGGUCUCAACAUUAACUCUAAAGUACUUUAGCAAAGCUCCUCUCGCCGCCAUUUCAGUGCUUCCCUAGCUGCCUCUCUA
rnacentral:misc_RNA from 1 species